rnacentral:rRNA from 1 species
UACGAAGGGUGCAAGCGUUACUCGGAAUUACUGGGCGUAAAGCGUGCGUAGGUGGUUUUUUAAGUCCGUUGUGAAAGCCCUGGGCUCAACCUGGGAAUGGCAGUGGAUACUGGAAAGCUAGAGUGCGGUAGAGGGUAGUGGAAUUCCCGGUGUAGCAGUGAAAUGCGUAGAGAUCGGGAGGAACACCCGUGGCGAAGGCGGCUCUCUGGGACGGUACUGACGCUGAGACGCGAAAGCGUGGGGAGCGAACAGG